rnacentral:rRNA from 1 species
UACGAAGGGUGCUAGCGUUGUUCGGAAUCACUGGGCGUAAAGCGCACGUAGGCGGAUGUGUCAGUCAGGGGUGAAAUCCCGGAGCUCAACUUCGGAACUGCCUUUGAUACAGCACAUCUGGAGUCCGGAAGAGGUGGGUGGAAUUCCCAGUGUAGAGGUGAAAUUCGUAGAUAUUAGGAAGAACACCGGUGGCGAAAGCGGCGCGCUGGAUCCCUACUGACGCUGAGGCACGAAAGCCAGGGGAGCAAACGGG